AAGUAAAAACCUGAACAGUUAUCUUUGACUGUCAGUGUGGCUCAAAAGAAUUCCACAUGUAUUUUUAAAACUCAGCAGGGCAAGGACAUCUGAGCGAGCCUAAAGCUAAGGUGUUAAAAAGUGACCUAUAUUAAGUUCGGCCGAAGAGAAAAAUUAAAUCCCCACGAUGAACUUCUAAGAAGAUGCUGACACAAAGCCCUGGGAUUUACCGAACCCGCUCUCCUUUUGUGCACAGUGGCUCUAAGAGGCAGCUUAAACACUUUGGGAGA